rnacentral:rRNA from 2 species
UUGACCUCGGAUCAGGUAGGGAUACCCGCUGAACUUAAGCAUAUCAAUAAGCGGAGGAAAAGAAACCAACAGGGAUUGCCCCAGUAACGGCGAGUGAAGCGGCAAAAGCUCAAAUUUGAAAUCUGGCUUCCAUUCCGGGGGUCCGAGUUGUAAUUUGAAGAGGAUGCUUUGGGUGUGACCGUGGCGUAAGUCCCUUGGAACAGGGCGUCGUAGAGGGUGAGAAUCCCGUCUUCAGUCACUGGCUCACGCCCGUUUAAAGCUCCUUCGACGAGUCGAGUUGUUUGGGAAUGCAGCUCUAAGUGGGUGGUAAAUUUCAUCUAAAGCUAAAUACUGGCCGGAGACCGAUAGCGAACAAGUAGAGUGAUCGAAAGGUUAAAAGCACCUUGAAAAGGGAGUUAAAAAGCACGUGAAAUUGUUGAAAGGGAAGCGCUUGCAAUCAGACUCGAGCUCAGGGGCUCAAGGAGCAUUUUUGCUCCUGUACUCCCCUGGGUUUGGGCCAGCAUCAGUUCUGACGGCCGGUCAAAGGCCCCUGGAAUGUGUCGUCCUCCGGGACGUCUUAUAGCCAGGGGUGCAAUGCGGCCAGUUGGGACUGAGGAACGCGCUUCGGCACGGAUGCUGGCAUAAUGGUUGUAAGCGGCCCGUCUUGAAACACGGACCAAGGAGUCUAACAUCCACGCGAGUGUUCGGGUGUCAAACCCGUGCGCGCAGUGAAAGCGAACGGAGGUGAGAGCCCGCAAGGGUGCAUCAUCGACCGAUCCUGAAGUCUUCGGAUGGAUUUGAGUAAGAGCGUGGCUGUUGGGACCCGAAAGAUGGUGAACUAUGCCUGAAUAGGGUGAAGCCAGAGGAAACUCUGGUGGAGGCUCGCAGCGGUUCUGACGUGCAAAUCGAUCGUCAAAUUUGGGUAUAGGGGCGAAAGACUAAUCGAACCAUCUGGUAGCUGGUUCCUGCCGAAGUUUCCCUCAGGAUAGCAGUAACGUUUUCAGUUUUAUGAGGUAAAGCGAAUGAUUAGAGGCCUUGGGGUUGAAACAACCUUAACCUAUUCUCAAACUUUAAAUAUGUAAGAAGCUCUUGUUACUUAAGUGAACGUGGGCAUUAGAAUGUAUCGUUACUAGUGGGCCAUUUUUGGUAAGCAGAACUGGCGAUGCGGGAUGAACCGAACGCGAGGUUAAGGUGCCGGAAUGCACGCUCAUCAGACACCACAAAAGGUGUUAGUUCAUCUAGACAGCCCGACGGUGGCCAUGGAAGUCGGAAUCCGCUAAGGAGUGUGUAACAACUCACGGGCCGAAUGAACUAGCCCUGAAAAUGGAUGGCGCUCAAGCGUGCUACCCAUACCUCGCCGUCGGGGUUAAAAUGAUGCCCCGACGAGUAGGCAGGCGUGGGGGUCCGUGACGAAGCCC